AUGGCCUACGGGGGGCAGCAGUGAGGAAUAUUGGUCAAUGGACGAGAGUCUGAACCAGCCAAGUAGCGUGAAGGAUGACUGCCCUAUGGGUUGUAAACUUCUUUUAUAUGGGAAUAAAACGUUCCACGUGUGGGAUUUUGUAUGUACCAUAUGAGUAAGGAUCGGCUAACUCCGUGCCAGCAGCCGCGGUAAUACGGAGGAUCCGAGCGUUAUCCGGAUUUAUUGGGUUUAAAGGGAGCGUAGGUGGAUUGUUAAGUCAGUUGUGAAAGUUUGCGGCUCAACCGUAAAAUUGCAGUUGAAACUGG
rnacentral:rRNA from 1 species